rnacentral:rRNA from 1 species
GUUUCAGCCGCCGCGGUAAUACGGAGGAGGCAAGCGUUAUCCGGAAUUAUUGGGCGUAAAGCGUCCGUAGGUGGCUGAACAAGUCAGUUGUUAAAGAGUGGUGCUUAACACCAUGCCGGCGAUUGAAACUGUUUAGCUAGAGUUUGGUAGGGGUUACGGGAAUUCCCAGUGUAGCGGUGAAAUGCGUAGAUAUUGGGAAGAACACCGGUGGCGAAAGCGCGUAACUGGACCUGAACUGACACUGAGGGACGAAAGCUAGGGGAGCGAAAGGGAUUAGAAACCCUCGUAGUCC